rnacentral:rRNA from 1 species
CAGCAGCCACGGUAAUACGGAGGGGGCUAGCGUUGUUCGGAAUUACUGGGCGUAAAGCGCGCGUAGGCGGUUACUCAAGUCAGAGGUGAAAGCCCGGGGCUCAACCCCGGAACUGCCUUUGAAACUAGGUGACUAGAAUCUUGGAGAGGUCAGUGGAAUUCCGAGUGUAGAGGUGAAAUUCGUAGAUAUUCGCAGGAACACCAGUGGCGAAGGCGGCUAACUGGUCCAUAACUGACGCUGAGGUGCGAAAGCGUGGGGAGCAAACAGGAUUAGAGACCCCAGUAGUCCCUGUCUCUUAUAC